UACGGAGGGUGCAAGCGUUAUCCGGAUUCACUGGGUUUAAAGGGUGCGUAGGUGGGUCUGUAAGUCAGUGGUGAAAUCUCCGGGCUUAACCCGGAAACUGCCAUUGAUACUAUAGGUCUUGAAUUUUCUGGAGGUUAGCGGAAUAUGUCAUGUAGCGGUGAAAUGCUUAGAUAUGACAUAGAACACCAAUUGCGAAGGCAGCUGGCUACACAUAUAUUGACACUGAGGCACGAAAGCGUGGGGAUCAAACAGG
rnacentral:rRNA from 1 species